rnacentral:snoRNA from 1 species
UGUUUCCGGAGGCUUGUCACAGUUAUUCUUUCCACUGGCUGCAGAGAGAAGAGGCACAGUAAAACCAGUCCAUAAGCACCCCAGCCCGGGCCUUUUGCCUUGUCUAUGCUGGGAAUGGGACUAUGAGA